rnacentral:rRNA from 1 species
GACGUGGCUUUCUCUUCGGAGACUAGGACACAGGUGCUGCAUGGCUGUCGUCAGCUCGUGUCGUGAGAUGUUGGGUUAAGUCCCGCAACGAGCGCAACCCUCGCCAUUAGUUGCCAUCAUUCAGUUGGGAACUCUAAUGGGACUGCCGGUGCUAAGCCGGAGGAAGGUGGGGAUGACGUCAAGUCCUCAUGGCCCUUACAGGGUGGGCUACACACGUGCUACAAUGGCGACUACAGAGGGUUAAUCCUUAAAAGUCGUCUCAGUUCGGAUUGUCCUCUGCAACUCGAGGGCAUGAAGUUGGAAUCGCUAGUAAUCGCGGAUCAGCAUGCCGCGGUGAAUACGUU